rnacentral:tRNA from 1 species
GCCGAGAUGACCGAGAGGCUAGGUACGUGGCUGCAGACCACGCUACUCGGGUUCAAAUCCCGAUCUCGGCU